CCUACGGGAGGCAGCAGGGAGGAAUAUUGGUCAAUGGACGAGAGUCUGAACCAGCCAAGUAGCGUGAAGGAUGACGGCCCUAUGGGUUGUAAACUUCUUUUAUAUGGGAAUAAAAUGUUCCACGUGUGCGCUUUUGUAUGUACCCUAUGAAUAAGGAUCGGCUAACUCCGUGCCAGCAGCCGCGGUAAUACGGAGGAUCCGGGCGUUAUCCGGAUUUAUUGGGUUUAAAGGGAGCGUAGGUGGAUUGUUAAGUCUGUUGUGAAAGUUUGCGUCUCAACCGUGGAAUUGCAGUUGAAACUGGCAGUCUUGAGUGCGGUAGAGGUAGGCGGAAUUCGUGGUGUAGCGGUGAAAUGCUUAGAUAUCACGAAGAACUCCGAUUGCGAAGGCAGCUCACUGGACUGCAACUGACGCUGAGGCUCGAAAGUGUGGGUAUCAAACAGGAUUAGAUACCCGAGUAGUC
rnacentral:rRNA from 1 species